rnacentral:lncRNA from 1 species
GUAACUUUAUUAUAUUAUAAUAUUUUAUAUUCAUUUACGUGAUUAAAAGACCCUAUGAAAAGUAUUUUCUAAUGAACCAAAAUUUAUAGAAAAGAAAAGGUAAAACUAGAACCCCAAAUGAGAUGAAAAUGAAAGACCCUCCUGCAACAAUGGAAAUAUGCACUUCCUUCAACUAAAGUGAAAAGACCACCCUUACCUAUCACCAUGGGCCCACCCUAAUCAAUGCUCAUGAACUUAAUCUAUUCCUCGUUCUCUCUCUCAUGGUCAUGCACCCCAUUCUCUUUACUUCCCAUUUUUCUUUCAUAAAACCCCUGGAUUCACUCACUCAUCAAUCUCCUAUCCUUACACUGUUUUAUCCCAUGCUAUUCAUAAACACACACUUCUCUCCUCCAUAAAGUAAUAUACCCUCACACCCAUUCCUUCUUACGUUCACCACUACUAAUGCCUACUGUUUUCUACUCUCCCCAACCAUUUCUCUUUCCGCAUAGUAGUACCCAUACAACCAUUCACAAUGGAAUCAACCCACUCAUGCGGCCUCCUUAGCCAUCACCACUUUCUUUUUCAACUUUCCUUACCCAACACUUUCUGAGAAAAAACCUUGCUUUUCUCUAUCCCCACCUCAAACACGUUAUACCCCGAAACACUAAUUCUUUCAAAACCCUCUUCUCUCCUUUACUCAUUUAUUUCCACGCCCUUUCUCAUUCACUCAUAACCAUGUACACGUACAGACAAUUUAGAUAGUGUACACCUAUUCUUCAUAAAAGAUUACUACACCUAACUGAUUUCGGAAACAUGACUCACUUAUAAAGGAAUGCCAUAACAAUGUUAAAAGGUCUCUUACCUCUACACCCGUGGAUAACUAAACCAGCAUAAGACAUGCCUUACCUCAUGAGCCCCAC